rnacentral:rRNA from 1 species
ACUCCUACGGGAGGCAGCAGUAGGGAAUCUUCCACAAUGGACGAAAGUCUGAUGGAGCAACGCCGCGUGAGUGAAGAAGGGUUUCGGCUCGUAAAACUCUGUUGUUAAAGAAGAACAUAUCUGAGAGUAACUGUUCAGGUAUUGACGGUAUUUAACCAGAAAGCCACGGCUAACUACGUGCCAGCAGCCGCGGUAAUACGUAGGUGGCAAGCGUUGUCCGGAUUUAUUGGGCGUAAAGCGAGCGCAGGCGGUUUUUAAGUCUGAUGUGAAAGCCUUCGGCUCAACCGAAGAAGUGCAUCGGAAACUGGGAAACUUGAGUGCAGAAGAGGACAGUGGAACUCCAUGUGUAGCGGUGAAAUGCGUAGAUAUAUAGAAGAACACCAGUGGCGAAGGCGGCUGUCUGGUCUGUAACUGACGCUGAGGCUCGAAAGUAUGGGUAGCAAACAGGAUUAGAUACCCCUGGUAGGAUAGCG